GGUUGAGGUUGCUUGCCGCUGAAAAUCUGAGAUUAAAUUUUCAUUUCCACUUGAUAAGUGAAGAAGCAUGUUAUGGAUCUAGUUUUUGGAAUCAAAAUUUUGUUGUCCCUGAAACUUGGAUUUUGUGUUUCAAUUUGCGGUAUUGAAAUUUGAUGUCUGUGUCACUUCUUUUAUGUUUCUUGAAAUGGUAAUUGAUAUUCAUUGCUUCUUGUUUGAAUCCUGUUGCAUUUGAUAUUCAUUUCAAGUUAGCGUAAUCUAAUGAUUUUUAGACUGAUGCAAACUAAAUCAAAUUUUGAAUAAGAGAUUAUCAAUUAUACACUACUAAAAAACAUUGGUUUGUCUGAUAUUGAGCCUUAUAUUGAAGAGUCUCAUUAAUAUUACACCUGGAAUUUUUAUUAAACUGAUUCCUUUUAUUUCUCCUCUAUGGCUCAACACUUGUUCACAAUGUCCUAGAAUUUGAUCCUCUUCUAUUUAUUAUUAGGAUAUUUUUUUUAGUGCCUUUUCUUUUGGUUGUUAA
rnacentral:misc_RNA from 1 species